rnacentral:tRNA from 1 species
GGUUCUGGCCGAGUGGUUAAGGUAGAAUGCCUCUAUCGUUCAACAGGUCGGGGGUUCGAUCCCCGCGGAGGUCG